GGUAACCACUGAGUCAUGGCCUGAACCACUAAUUGAGCACCUGGGAAAAGGGCUCAGUUAGCCCUGGGGGCACAGGUGAAAGCAAUGUGACCUGUGUGAAUGGAAGAGGUGGAGCCUCCACCUCUCUUAGACCUCAUUUAAGGGCUGACUGCCAUUGGGGAAGGAUCUCUGGUUGGAGAUUCCUCUCAUGGGGAGUUUCCCUUGCAAGCCUACAUCUUCAGAGACAGGUCCUGCAGUCCACUGAUCACUGGGGAGGGAAUAUCAGUUUGUGUCCUGCUCAGGAAUUGUAUCUGCACUGAAAUAGAAGAGAAAACCUUAGAAACCUUGUUGGUGUUUGAUGCUACUGAUGUUUGUCACUAAAUGUGGGAUAUGUAGGUAUUCGAGGCCAGGUUGGAUGGGGGCCUUGGGCAACCUGAUCUGGUGCCUGAUUUUGUG
ensembl:lncRNA